rnacentral:rRNA from 1 species
CCUACGGGUGGCAGCAGUGAGGAAUAUUGGUCAAUGGACGAGAGUCUGAACCAGCCAAGUAGCGUGAAGGAUGACUGCCCUAUGGGUUGUAAACUUCUUUUAUAUGGGAAUAAAAUGUUCCACGUGUGGGAUUUUGUAUGUACCAUAUGAAUAAGGAUCGGCUAACUCCGUGCCAGCAGCCGCGGUAAUACGGAGGAUCCGAGUGUUAUCCGGAUUGAUUGGGUUUAAAGGGAGCGUAGGUGGAUUGUUAAGUCAGUUGUGAAAGUUUGCGGCGCAACCGUAAAAUUGCAGUUGAAACUGGCAGUCUUGAGUAUAGUAGAGGUGGGCGGAAUUCGUGGUGUAGCGGUGAAAUGCUUAGAUAUCACGAAGAACUCCGAUUGCGAAGGCAGCUCACUGGACUGCAACUGACGCUGAGGAGCGAAAGCGUGGGUAGCAAACAGGAUUAGAUACCCUUGUAGUC